GUGCAGCAGGCGCGAAACCUCCGCAAUGCGCUAACGCGCGACGGGGUCACCCCGAGUGCCAGCCGCUGAGGCUGGCUUUUCCCCAGUGUAAAAAGCUGGGGGAAUAAGCGGGGGGCAAGUUCUGGUGUCAGCCGCCGCGGUAAUACCAGCUCCGCGAGUGGUCGGGGCGUUUAUUGGGCCUAAAGCGUCCGUAGCCGGCCCAGCAAGUUCCUCCUUAAAUCCCAUGGCUCAACCAUGGGGCUGGGAGGAAUACUGCUGGGCUAGGGGGCGGGAGAGGCCGAGGGUAUUCCCGGGGUAGGGGCGAAAUCCUAUAAUCCCGGGAAGACCACCAAUGGCGGAGGCACUCGGCCAGAACGCGCCCGACGGUGAGGGACGAAAGCCAGGGGAGCAAAAGGGAUUAGAGACCCCUGUAGUCCUGGCUGUAAACGAUGCGGGCUAGGUGUUGGCUGAGCUUCGUGCUCAGCCAGUGCCGCAGGGAAGCCGCUAAGCCCGCCGCCUGGGGAGUACGGCCGCAAGGCUGAAACUUAAAGGAAUUGGCGGGGGAGCAC
rnacentral:rRNA from 1 species